rnacentral:rRNA from 1 species
AUUGAACGCUGGCGGCAUGCUUUACACAUGCAAGUCGAACGGCAGCGCGGGCUUCGGCCUGGCGGCGAGUGGCGAACGGGUGAGUAAUGCAUCGGAACGUGCCCAGUAGUGGGGGAUAGCCCGGCGAAAGCCGGAUUAAUACCGCAUACGACCUGAGGGUGAAAGCGGGGGACCGAAAGGCCUCGCGCUAUUGGAGCGGCCGAUGUCGGAUUAGCUAGUUGGUGGGGUAAAGGCUUACCAAGGCGACGAUCCGUAGCUGGUCUGAGAGGACGACCAGCCAACCUGGGACUGGGACACGGCCCAGGCUCCUACGGGAGGCAGCAGUGGGGAAUUUUGGGCAAUGGGGGGAAACCUGGUCCAACCAUGCCGCGUGGGGGAAAAAAGCCUUCCGGUUGUAAACCGCUUUUGUUCGGGAAGAAAUCCUCUGGGCUAAUACCCCGGGGGGAUGACGGUACCGGAAGAAUAAGCACCGGCUAACUACGUG